UAGGGAAUCUUCGGCAAUGGACGAAAGUCUGACCGAGCAACGCCGCGUGAGUGAAGAAGGUUUUCGGAUCGUAAAACUCUGUUGUUAGAGAAGAACAAGGACGUUAGUAACUGAACGUCCCCUGACGGUAUCUAACCAGAAAGCCACGGCUAACUACGUGCCAGCAGCCGCGGUAAUACGUAGGUGGCAAGCGUUGUCCGGAUUUAUUGGGCGUAAAGCGAGCGCAGGCGGUUUCUUAAGUCUGAUGUGAAAGCCCCCGGCUCAACCGGGGAGGGUCAUUGGAAACUGGGAGACUUGAGUGCAGAAGAGGAGGGUGGAAUUCCAUGUGUAGCGGUGAAAUGCGUAGAUAUAUGGAGGAACACCAGUGGCGAAGGCGGCUCUCUGGUCUGUAACUGACGCUGAGGCUCGAAAGCGUGGGGAGCGAACAGG
rnacentral:rRNA from 1 species